rnacentral:rRNA from 1 species
UUGCUUCGGCGGGACCGCCCCGGCGCCCUCAGCGGCCCGGAACCAGGCGCCCGCCGGAGGACCCAAACUCUUGCUUUGCAUAGUGGCAUUCUCUGAGUCUCACAAACAAAAAUAAAUCAAAACUUUCAACAACGGAUCUCUUGGCUCUGGCAUCGAUGAAGAACGCAGCGAAAUGCGAUAAGUAAUGUGAAUUGCAGAAUUCAGUGAAUCAUCGAAUCUUUGAACGCACAUUGCGCCCGCCAGCACUCUGGCGGGCAUGCCUGUUCGAGCGUCAUUUCAACCCUCAAGCACCCCUAGGGAGCUUGGUGUUGGGGACCGGCCCGCCCUCUGCGGCGGCCGCCGCCCCCGAAAUGCAGUGGCGACCUCGCCGCAGCCUCCCCUGCGUAGUAGCACAACCUCGCACCGGAGCGCGGAGACGGUCACGCCGUAAAACGCCCAACUUUCCUAGAGUUGACCUCGGAUCAGGUAGGAAUACCCGCUGAACUUAAGCAUAU